GUCUUGGAAGUAGGACACGUCCUGCGUCCGGACCUGAGGGACGUUCGGGCUGAAGUGGCGGGAGGAGAAGAGCCUCGCCCGUGCCCAGGCUCCGCCCCUCACCUGGGCAGUCCAGCGGGAGGUCGCAGACCGUGGAGUAGCACCCGCGGCAGCGGAAACGCCGGGCGACCUCCUGGAGUCCUGCGGAACGGAAAAGCUGCACCUGGGCUCCAUCCGCGUUCCCCAGCCCGGGUCCCUCUGGCCAGGGUUCUUAUUGGUCUCCUGUUCUAAAUGCCAGGUUUCGCUCCCGACCACCUCCCUUCCCCCUCAAUUCGGAGUUUGGGAUGAAGAGCUUACCGCAAGGAGGGAUGCAGGCCUGGACUGUGGAGAGAGAGGAAGCGUUACUAUCCUGGAAGGCCUGGAGGUCAUGAUCUCAGGGUUGUGAGAUCAAACCCUGCGUUGGGCUCCGCACUCAACACAGAUUCUGCUUGGGAUUCUCUCUCCCCCUUGGCCCCUUCCUGUGCUCUCUGUCUGAACUGUGUCCCUCCCAAACUUAUAAUGUUGAAGCCCUAACCCCCAGGAUCUCGGAAUGUGACUGUACUUGGAUAUACAGCCUUAAAGAGGUAAUUAAGUUAUAAUUAGGUCAUUAGGGUGGGCCCUGAUCCAGUGUAUUGCCCUAUAAGAGGAGAUCUGGACACUGACACACCGAGGGGAGAGCAUGUGAAGACACAGGAGAGAGAGAAGAUGGCCAUCUACAAGCCAGAGAGAAAGGCCUGAGAAGGAACCAACCCUGCUCACAUUGACACCUUGAUCUUGGACUUCUAGCCUCCAGAAUUGUGAACAAAUACAUUUCUAUCUUUUAAG